rnacentral:rRNA from 1 species
UGGGGAAUAUUGCACAAUGGGCGCAAGCCUGAUGCAGCCAUGCCGCGUGUGUGAAGAAGGCCUUCGGGUUGUAAAGCACUUUCAGCGAGGAGGAAGGUGGUGAGCUUAAUACGCUCAUCAAUUGACGUUACUCGCAGAAGAAGCACCGGCUAACUCCGUGCCAGCAGCCGCGGUAAUACGGAGGGUGCAAGCGUUAAUCGGAAUUACUGGGCGUAAAGCGCACGCAGGCGGUUUGUUAAGUCAGAUGUGAAAUCCCCGGCUCAACCUGGGAACUGCAUUUGAACUGGCAAGCUAGAGUCUCGUAGAGGGGGUAGAAUUCCAGGUGGUAGCAGUGCAAAUGCGUAGAGAUCUGGAAGGAAUACCGGUGGCGAAGGCGGCCCCCUGGACGAAGACUGACGCUCAGGUGCGAAAGC